AUGAUAGAGGAAGAGUUUAGGGAUGGUUCAGGUAGGAGGCCAAGGAAGAAGAUGGAGAAGGCACCAAACUCAGUCAUGGGUCCUGAUGAGAGAAGACGUACAGUUGACAUCCUCAACACAAUGGACAAUAACAGAUUUUCUGAAAGCCCAGCCACAGCACCGCAAACCUACCCAUACCUCCUGUUCCAAACACUCAGGCUCUUCAGCCCCUGAGUGAAUGCUGAGCCAGCCCAGCCCAGAUUUUGCAGCCUGCCACAUCUACUGGUUUUUGAAUCUUAGUUCCCACAUCGACACCGAAGUCUUUGGAAAAAAAGCCAUGAACUGGGGCCAUCGGGGACUACCCUGCCGGCCCUGGAAAUACCAGAAGUUAAGGUAAGUGUCUCUUAGGGUUUUAGAGAUGCAAGUUUAUCAAAGGAAAUCCUGCUUCUUGCUGUGGGGAGUCAUGCAGGGAAACCUCUUGCCCAAGAAGUGACUCAGUCAGGAAAUGUCAAUAAUUUCAAGAGUUGUAGAUACAUUCUCAGAUGAUAGGCUCACCCGGAUCCAUGAGGCAAUAUUUGAAGGCUAGGGAGAGUCCUAAUCUUUAAGAGGAGGACCGCUCUGCAAACUGUUGUCGAUGCACAAGGAGAUUAGUACAGAAACUGACCGUAAGCUUCUAGAAAAUUUUAUAGUAAAUGAUACAGCUGUGAUGUCAAAGUACACGAUCAUUUCCCCAGGAAUGCAUUUUUAUCAUAUUUUAUAAAAAUAUGGGUUCAUAGCAGAGGUUUUAAAAAUCGGGUCUUUAUCACGGACAAGUUGAGAAGCACAGGUACAGAGAGCUACGAGACCCACCUCUCAGAGGUUGACCCCUGUCAGAAGGAGCACAAAGGUGAUUUGUCCUCUGUGUCUGGGGUGGAGAGGGGUAGGAAGAGUUAGCAAGGAUCCUUCUAGUUUUAUAAUCCAAACCUUAAGAGUUUACUUGGCUGGAGGCCAGCUUCGGAUUCAUGGCAAACUGAUUCUUGGCAAGUGGCAGCCCUCAUUACGUCCCUUUUAUUUCAGCAGGGAGAAAAAAGCAAAAGCACCCUUCUAUAGGGUGUUUGGGAAGGAGGCACCAGCCAUUGUUACUACUAUUUACUGAGUGGCGGAGCCAGCAUUGGAAUCCCACCUGCCUCUGGGCCUUUGCACAUGUUGUUCCUCCUGCCUGGCCUUCCUCAGCUAUCUACCAUCACAGUGAUAGCUGUUUCACUUCCUUCAAGUGACGCUCAUGUAUUUAUCCCUCCAGGUGCCUGUCCUGCUUCUCCCCUCCACUCAUUCAAGUUCUUUAUUGCUCCCUACGCUUCCUUUUCAUGGCAAUACUAACAGAACUAACUGUGCAAUCAAUUGUUUACUUUUGUGAGUUUAAUUGUGAGUUUCCCGGGGGCAAAGACGAAAUCUCUCCUCCUCAUUCUGCCAUCCUCAUUGCCUAGUACGGUUUGACACACAGUAGGUGUUUCACACGUAUAUAGAGCAAAGGAAAGAGUGAAUAAAUAAACAAAUGAAUGGAUGGAUAGAUAACA
rnacentral:lncRNA from 1 species